rnacentral:rRNA from 1 species
UACCGAGGUGGCAAGCGUUGUUCGGAAUUACUGGGCGUAAAGGGCGCGUAGGUGGCCUUCUUAGUCAGACGUGAAAUCCCCAGGCUUAACCUGGGAACUGCGUCUGAUACUGGAAGGCUCGAGUUCGGGAGAGGAAUGUGGAAUUCCAGGUGUAGCGGUGAAAUGCGUAGAUAUCUGGAGGAACACCGGUGGCGAAGGCGGCAUUCUGGACCGAAACUGACGCUGAGGCGCGAAAGCCAGGGGAGCAAACGGG